rnacentral:rRNA from 1 species
CCUACGGGGGUCAGCAGUGGGGAAUAUUGCACAAUGGGGGGAACCCUGAUGCAGCGACGCCGCGUGAGUGAAGAAGCAUUUCGGUAGUUAAAUCUCUAUCAGCAGGGAGCAAAAAAGGACGGUACCUGAUUAAGAAGCCCCGGCUAACUACGUGCCAGCAGCCGCGGUAAUACGUAGGGAGCAAGCGUUAUCCGGAUUUACUGGGUGUAAAGGGGGCGUAGACGGGAAGGCAAGUCGGGAGUAGAAUGCGGAAGCUCAACGGCUGAACUGCGCUGGAAACUGUAUGGCUUGAGUGCAGGAGGGGUAAGCGGAAUUCCUGGUGUAGCGGUGAAAUGCGUAGAUAUCAGGAGGAACACCGGUGGCGAAGGCGGCUAACUGGACUGCAACUGACGCUGAGGCACGAAAGCGUGGGGAGCAAACAGGAUUAGAUACCCGAGUAGUC